rnacentral:rRNA from 1 species
CACGCCGUAAACGAUGAGCACUAGGUGUCGGGGUCGCAAGGCUUCGGUGCCGCAGUUAACGCAUUAAGUGCUCCGCCUGGGGAGUACGCACGCAAGUGUAAAACUCAAAGGAAUUGACGGGGACCCGCACAAGCAGCGGAGCAUGUGGUUUAAUUCGAAGCAACGCGAAGAACCUUACCAGAGCUUGACAUCCCUUUGACCGGUCCGUAAUGGGACCCUCUCUUCGGAGCAAAGGUGACAGGUGG